AAACAUAAUAAACAGAGGAAAACUGAUGGCAAGACAACCACUCUGCAAUUUAACUGUGUAAAUGAUCUAUACUACUUGUGCAAAUCCUACCAUUCAAAAUGAUACUAAGGCCACAUACAUCAAUGAAGAGACUUUCUGCUGAUUUUCUGUAGCCUUUUAAGUAAAUAUAUUUCGUUUGGGAAAUAGAAUAUACAAUCCUUAAACUAGAGAACCUGUUAUUUUUUAUUUAAAUGAACUAUAGGAAUUUAGCACCCACCCCCGCUCCUAGAAGAAUGAAAUAUUUUAGAAAAUAUUUAAAAAGGCAGAAUAUAUUUCCCUGGAUGAGAAAUGGAGAAACAUGUUUUAAAGACAAAGCAGCUUCCUGACUACCCCCCCCCCACCUUUGUCAAUGGGCCAUUAAAGCCUCAGCCAAGCUCACUCACUCCCCCCACCUUUGUCAAUGGGUCAGAGGUAGAAACUCAUUCUCCCCACCUUUGUCAAUGGGCCAUCAUCAACUGCAACAUAAUAGGACCCAUCUAGCAACAGAAACUCACCACAUGACACCUGGGAAGAUUACAACAGCCAGCAAGGCUAGCUAAGACCCCCCCACCCCCUGGGAGUCUGACAGCCAAUCAGGGUACUCUUCUUGUGCCCCAGGAAAUUCAAAGCUCAGAAAAAGCAUAAAGCUAGGGAGUGCACAGGAUCUCAUCCCCUUUUUUCUGUUUAGGAACUCAAGCCAUGUGAUCCUGACCACCAUUAAACCAUCUUUCCAAGCACCCUCCAUGUUUCCAGUGUCUUUGUCCCCACUUGGAACUGAACCCAGAUGGAUAUUUCUUCCAACAGAACAUAUUAAAAUAGUCUAGGAGAGAAAAAUAGCAGAGUGAAUUAUAACUGAAUCUUAUAAUCAGAAUGGCUGCCGGCUAUGAAGAAACAGAACCAGUGAAACAGAAAUAAAUUAUAGACUAGGAUGGAUAUAUUUCUAAGAAUAUAGCACAGAGCAAAAACUCCAGAAGCAGCCUAAAAUACAGAUGAUGAUUUCAAAGAAUUAGAAAACAGUUUACAAAACUUUUUCAAUGACUCAACAUUAUACAUAACAGAGAUACGAGCAAAACAAUGUAUUUAUUCAUGUCUGACUACAAGCAAUCACUUUAUUCAGAUCAUGUGAAUUUAUGGAAUUUUUAAAUUCUUGGAAUGAAGCAAACAAGUGCUUAACAAUGGAAGAUUUAUAUUACUGAAUAAACAAUUGUCAAAUAUGGAAAGCUCCAAAUACAGUACAUUCAAGUAAGAAGUUCUUAAUAUUUCAGUCUGACAUUGUGGGAUAUUUUCUAAAUUAACAUUUUUAAUUUGUGUUUUUAAAUAUUCUUUUCUUGUCAAGAUUUUUUCAACAUAGGCCAGUCUCAUUUGGAAUGGGCAUAACUAUUAUUUUUCAGAAUAUUGUAUGGCAGAUAGAAUAUGAAUACCUCAUCUUUAGAAGUUUUAGCUUUAUAUAUCACUUAUCAAUGCUAAAAAUGAUCAGAAUGAACUGAGAAAAAGGCUGAAGACAUUUAGCUCUCUCUCUUUUUAUGAUAGCUACAACCUGGACACAUAUAAUUGGCUAAUAUCAUGGCCCAGGACUUAAGACUAUGACUCUGAAGAAGCUGCUCCAACUGAACAAAUGAAAUGUCAGACUCAGGAGACGCAAAGUCAGCAGUCAAACUGGCUGAUCAAACACAAGCACUUAUUAGAACAAUUGAACUAGUCAGAUUAUGAUGUAUGGGUUCCAAGCUCUCCUGCAAAUACAGUGGAGAAGGAGAGCAUAAGCAAAGAUGCUUGGUGCUGCUCCUUGCCAAGCGAGGAAGUAAAUCUAUGGCUGGUGAUAGCCUGCUUUAAGAGGCAGCCCCGACUCAUGUUCCUCAAUUGGAUUUUCUGAUUUCCUGUUCUGGUGUGUUAUUUCUGUGAAUCAUGCUCAUGAAACUCUGACCUUGGAUUGGCUAAGAAACCUGAGUUAUCUCUCUGAAUUUUGGCAUGGAUUUUGACUAUUUUUCUGUGGGCUUUUGUUGACAGCAAAACCACCCAGGCGAGCUUUCUUUCCAAGAAACUUUACAUUUCUUCCCUUUUCUCUUAUUUGCUCAGCUUUGAUUAAA